rnacentral:rRNA from 1 species
GAUGAACGCUGGCGGCGUGCCUAAUACAUGCAAGUCGAACGAGGUGCUUUUGUAGCAAUACGAGGGUAUCCUAGUGGCGAACGGGUGAGUAACGCGUUGGUGACCUGCCCCGAAGUGUGGGAUAACAGUCCGAAAGGAUUGCUAAUACCGCAUGUGGCCAUCGGGUUUAGGAACCGAUGUCUAAAGCAGCAAUGCGCUUUGGGAGGGACCUGCGUCCCAUCAGCUAGUUGGUGAGGUAACGGCUCACCAAGGCGACGACGGGUAGGGGGCCUGAGAGGGUGGCCCCCCACAAUGGAGCUGAAACACGGUCCAUACACCUACGGGUGGCAGCAGUAGGGAAUAUUGCACAAUGGGCGAAAGCCUGAUGCAGCAACGCCGCGUGAGCGAAGAAGGCCUUCGGGUCGUAAAGCUCUUUUCUGGGAGAUGAGAAAGGACAGUAUCCCAGGAAUAAGUCUCGGCUAACUACGUGCCAGCCGCCGCCGUAAUAC